rnacentral:rRNA from 1 species
GGACCCGACCGCUAUCGGGGUGGGGCUAAGCCAUGGGAGUCGCACGCUCCGCCGCUGCGGGGCGUGGCGCACGGCUGAGUAGCACGUGGCUAACCUGCCCUCGGGAGGGGGAUAACACCGGGAAACUGGUGCUAAUCCCCCAUAGGGAAGGCCGCCUGGAAGGGUCCUUCCCUCGAAAAGGGCCCGGCAGGGUUAGCCCUGCCGAGCCGCCCGAGGAUGGGGCUACGGCCCAUCAGGUAGUUGGCGGSGUAACGGCCCGCCAAGCCGAUAACGGGUGGGGGCCGUGAGAGCGGGAGCCCCCAGAUGGGCACUGAGACAAGGGCCCAGGCCCUAAGGGGCGCACCAGGCGCGAAACCUCCGCAAUGCGGGAAACCGUGACGGGGCUACCCCGAGUGCCGGGCGAAGAGCCCGGCUUUUGCCCGGUCUAAAACGMMGGGAGAAUAA